rnacentral:rRNA from 1 species
GUCUAUGGCCAUGCUGCCCUGAACAAGCCCAGUCCCGUCUGAUCUUGGAAGCUAAGCAGUGUCGGGCCUGCUUAGUACUUGGAUGGGAGACCACCUAGGUGCUGUAGGCAUAAGAAAGA